rnacentral:tRNA from 1 species
GGGGAUGUAGCUCAGUGUAGAGUCCUUGCCUAGCAAGUAUGAAGUCCUGGGUUUGAUGCCCAGCAUUGCAA